rnacentral:rRNA from 1 species
UACGUAGGGUGCAAGCGUUGUCCGGAAUUAUUGGGCGUAAAGAGCUCGUAGGCGGUCUGUCGCGUCGGCUGUGAAAUCCCGAGGCUCAACCUCGGGUCUGCAGUCGAUACGGGCAAACUAGAGUAUUGCAGGGGGAGACUGGAAUUCCUGGUGUAGCGGUGAAAUGCGCAGAUAUCAGGAGGAACACCGGUGGCGAAGGCGGGUCUCUGGGCAAUAACUGACGCUGAGGAGCGAAAGCGUGGGGAGCGAACAGG